CCUACGGGAGACAGCAGUGAGGAAUAUUGGUCAAUGGGCGAGAGCCUGAACCAGCCAAGUCGCGUGAGGGAGUACUGCCCUAUGGGUUGUAAACCUCUUUUGUCGGGGAGCAAAAGCCGGACGUGUCCGGCUGUGAGAGUACCCGAAGAGAAAGCAUCGGCUAACUCCGUGCCAGCAGCCGCGGUAAUACGGAGGAUGCGAGCGUUAUCCGGAUUUAUGGGGUUAAAAGGGUGCGCAGGCGGAUUUUUAAGUCAGCGGUCAAAUCGUGGGGCUCAACCCCAUCCAGCCGUUGAAACUGGGGAUCUAGAGUGUGCGAGAGGUAUGCGGAAUGCGUGGUGUAGCGGUGAAAUGCAUAGAUAUCACGCAGAACCCCGAUUGCGAAGGCAGCAUACCGGUGCACAACUGACGCUCAGGCACGAAAGCGUGGGUAUCGAACAGGAUUAGAUACCCUUGUAGUC
rnacentral:rRNA from 1 species